GUGCUCACUCGACAGCAUAUAUACUAAAAUGGGAACAAUGUAGGGAAGAUUACCAUGGCCCCUGGGCAAGAGUGAACAGUUUCAGUGACUGCUGUUUGUGCUAAUU